rnacentral:rRNA from 1 species
UACGUAGGUGGCAAGCGUUGUCCGGAAUUAUUGGGCGUAAAGCGCGCGCAGGUGGUUUCUUAAGUCUGAUGUGAAAGCCCACGGCUCAACCGUGGAGGGUCAUUGGAAACUGGGGAACUUUAGUGCAGAAGAGGAAAGUGGAAUUCCACGUGUAGCGGUGGAAAUUGCGUAGAGAUGUGGAGGAACACCAGUGGCGAAGGCAGCCUUCUGGGCCAACACUGACGCUCAUGCACGAAAGCGUGGGGAGCAAACAGG